rnacentral:rRNA from 1 species
UUGGUUAAGUUAGAAAGGGCGCACGGUGGAUGCCUUGGCACUAGGAGCCGAAGAAGGACGGGACUAACACCGAUAUGCUUUGGGGAGCUGUACGUAAGCGUUGAUCCAGAGAUUUCCGAAUGGGGGAACCCACUAUCUUUAGUCGGAUAGUAUCCUUACGUGAAUACAUAGCGUGAGGAAGGCAGACCCAGGGAACUGAAACAUCUAAGUACCUGGAGGAAGAGAAAGAAAAAUCGAUUUCCUGAGUAGCGGCGAGCGAAACGGAAAGAGCCCAAACCAAGAAGCUUGCUUCUUGGGGUUGUAGGACACUCUAUACGGAGUUACAAAAGAAAGUUAUAAAUGAAGCGGUCUGGAAAGGCCCGCCAAAGACGGUAACAGCCCGGUAGUUGAAAUGGCUUUCCCUCCAGAGUGGAUCCUGAGUACGGCGGAACACGUGAAAUUCCGUCGGAAUCCGGGAGGACCAUCUCCCAAGGCUAAAUACUCCCUAGUGACCGAUAGUGAACCAGUACCGUGAGGGAAAGGUGAAAAGCACCCCGGAAGGGGAGUGAAACAGUUCCUGAAACCGUGUGCCUACAAGUAGUUAGAGCCCGUUAAUGGGUGAUAGCGUGCCUUUUGUAGAAUGAACCGGCGAGUUACGAUUUGUUGCAAGGUUAAGCGGAAAAAGCGGAGCCGUAGCGAAAGCGAGUCUGAAUAGGGCGCAUAAGUAACAGGUCGUAGACCCGAAACCAGGUGAUCUACCCAUGUCCAGGAUGAAGGUAAGGUAAUACUUACUGGAGGUCCGAACCCACGCACGUUGAAAAGUGCGGGGAUGAGGUGUGGGUAGCGGAGAAAUUCCAAUCGAACUUGGAGAUAGCUGGUUCUCUCCGAAAUAGCUUUAGGGCUAGCCUCGAGGUAAAGAGUCAUGGAGGUAGAGCACUGUUUGGACUAGGGGCCCUUCUCGGGUUACCGAAUUCAGAUAAACUCCGAAUGCCAUGUACUUAUACUCGGGAGUCAGACUGCGAGUGAUAAGAUCCGUAGUCGAAAGGGAAACAGCCCAGACCACCAGUUAAGGUCCCCAAAUAUAUGUUAAGUGGAAAAGGAUGUGGGGUUGCUUAGACAACCAGGAUGUUGGCUUAGAAGCAGCCACCAUUGAAAGAGUGCGUAAUAGCUCACUGGUCGAGUGACCCCGCGCCGAAAAUGUACCGGGGCUAAACAUAUUACCGAAACUGUGGAUGAACCUCUUUAGAGGUUCGUGGUAGGAGAGCGUUCUAAGGGCGGUGAAGUCAGACCGGAAGGACUGGUGGAGCGCUUAGAAGUGAGAAUGCCGGUAUGAGUAGCGAAAGAAGGGUGAGAAUCCCUUCCACCGAAUAUCUAAGGUUUCCUGAGGAAGGCUCGUCCGCUCAGGGUUAGUCGGGACCUAAGCCGAGGCCGAUAGGCGUAGGCGAUGGACAACAGGUAGAGAUUCCUGUACCAGUGCUAAUUGUUUAACCGAUGGGGUGACACAGAAGGAUAGGGAAUCGCACGAAUGGAAAUGUGCGUCCAAGCAGUGAGUGUGAGAAGUAGGCAAAUCCGCUUCUCGCGAAGCAUGAGCUGUGAUGGGGAAGGAAAUUAA